UACGUAGGGUGCAGGCGUUUAAUCGGAAUUACUGGGCGUAAAGCGUGCGCAGGCGGUGAUGUAAGACAGGUGUGAAAUCCCCGGGCUUAACCUGGGAACUGCAUUUGUGACUGCAUCGCUGGAGUGCGGCAGAGGGGGAUGGAAUUCCGCGUGUAGCAGUGAAAUGCGUAGAUAUGCGGAGGAACACCGAUGGCGAAGGCAAUCCCCUGGGCCUGCACUGACGCUCAUGCACGAAAGCGUGGGGAGCAAACAGG
rnacentral:rRNA from 1 species